CAAGGAGAUGACCAACCUGGUAAGAAGGUGGCUUGGAAGAUUUCUCCCCGCUCACCUUAUCGCUGAUGUCCCACUGAAGGACAUCAGUUUCAAGGACACAAGCCUCCAGUUGGAAAACGAUGACCUCUGUCUUGGAGAGGAAGCACAAAUGUUCUUGGAGGACAACAUUGAUGAGCUUUCCUCUUCAGUCCCAGAGCUUCUUAAGGCAGUGAGAGACUUCUUUGUAGCUGUUACCACCAAGAUGAUGUCAGCAUUUCCCCUGGACAACAUCAUGCUCCAGAAC
rnacentral:lncRNA from 1 species